UGGGGAAUAUUGCGCAAUGGGGGAAACCCUGACGCAGCGACGCCGCGUGAGCGAUGAAGGCCUUGGGGUUGUAAAGCUCUGUUUUAAGGGACGAAUGUUACGGGGAGUAAUAUACCCUGUAAAUGACGGUCCCUUAAGAGGAAGCCCCGUCUAACUACGCGCCAGCAGCCGCGGUAAGACGUAGGGCGCGAGCGUUGUCCGGAAUUACUGGGCGUAAAGAGCACGUAGGCGGGAACUCAAGUCAGGUGUGAAAGACCGGGGAUCGACGUCGAGGGUGCGCUUGAGACUGGGUUUCGUGAGGGCAGGAGAGGAA
rnacentral:rRNA from 1 species